rnacentral:rRNA from 1 species
AAGGAAUAUUGCUCAAUGGGAGAAAUCCUGAAGCAGCAACGCCGCGUGGAGGAUGAAGGGUCUAUGACUUGUAAACUCCUGUAAAGAAGGAAAAAAUUCCCAUUAGAUGGGAGAUGAUGGUACUUCUGGAGUAAGCCCCGGCUAACUACGUGCCAGCAGCCGCGGUAAUACGUAGGGGGCAAGCGUUGUCCGGAUUUACUGGGUGUAAAGGGUGCUCAGGCGGAUUUGUAAGUCAGAGGUGAAAUCUUACAGCUUAACUGUGAAACUGCCUUUGAUACUGCAAGACUAGAGUAUGGAAGAGAGUGAUGGAAUAUCUGGUGUAGCAGUGAAAUGCGUAGAUAUCAGAUAGAACACCAAUGGCGAAGGCAGUCACUUGGUCCAUUACUGACGCUAAAGCACGAAAGCGUGGGUAGCAAACA